CUGCAUGUGCUGUGAGAAGCCUGAAUCCCCCCUGCAACCUUGGCUUUAUCCCUCUGCAGACCUCUGCCUACUGACACGGCUUCAGGUGGCUGCAGAAAAUAAGGCGGAGAAAACAGCUUGUGCAAAAUACUCCCUGCAGGCGAACACAUUUUUUCAGGGGAAUUGAGCCAGUAGGCUAAAAAGGUAAAGCCGCAGGGCUGUGUUAACAAUACUUCUAGGGGUUUUAUGAAGGAGGGGCAUUUAUGUUGGCCUCCGAGGCUCAGCAGGUGAAUUCUGGCCGUGGAUAAUUGACACACGUCUAAUACAAUGAGCCAUGACCCUGUACCCCAGAGGAGCUGUGGCUUUCACUUGCCAAUUACUCUUUUUAUUUAUUCAUUUAUUUAUUUUUUUAAAUAUAAAGAGAGGGGAGAAUCUGGUACGUGGCACAGUGCCCACGUGAAGGCUGCUGGAGUUGCUCUGGGUUGCAGGACUAAAUUUGGGUCUGUUCAGGAAGAUCAGAAAUCAGUACUAAAUUGUAAUUAUCCCAAGACAGCACAGAUUUUAUUAUUUUUUGAUUAUUAUCCUUUAAAAUCUGCCAGAUCAUCUUGGGCAGUGCAAGAGGCGGGAGUGCUGGUUCUGUGCUAGGCCAUGGAGCACAGUGGUGGCUCAUGGACUGAAAAGAUGAGGGCAAUAUAAACUUCUCCAGAGUUAGUCCGUGUGUGUGUCACUGUGAUGGCUUUCUGCUGCGAGUGUGAGGGUGUGCAGUGAUCUCUGGAAAAAUGUGAAUCUUGGCUGCAGUCCUUGAUUCAAAAUAUCUGGGAAACACUGAGCCAGGAGGCUGGAAAUACCUCUUUGGGGUUUUGUUCUCCAGAAGGAAAGCAGCGUAGAGCUUCCUGUGAGACAAUUGUUUGAAUGAAAAAAUGUGCAAUGCAGAACUGAAAGGGAACAGGUGCUUUCCCUUGUAUCUCUACAAGACUAAUGCAUGUACUAUGUUAGUUGAAAAACAAACAAACAACAACAACAACAACAACAACAAAAAACCUACCACCAACAAUAAAACCAAUAGCUUGUAUAAGGAAGAUGAAAAACGCACCAAAGCAAUGGAAAGAGCUGUCUGCUCUAAGUAUCCCAGCCUUAAAACCAAAGCAGAGCCUUCUUUCUGUGGCGUGUUUUGGAGGGUAUUUUGCUACAGGACGGAGAUAUUACUGCAGGAGGACUACUGCAACAUCUAAAAUGUUUUAUAUUGCUCUCAGAAUGCAUGCCAGCAAACAAAUGAAGGUUUUGGUUUAUGCAACAGA